CACGGCGGACACUGGUCCCCGCAGCACUUAAAAAAGGGUUAAUGGCAUGCUUGCCGCAAUCACGCAUUUGCUUGCAUUUAGUCUCGCAUGCAAACUCCUUGGAGCAGGGCAACUCCUUUUCGUGCAGACCACAGCGACACUUCUUUUUGGUUCUUAUCGGGCACUGUAAGAAAGAUAUUUCAUUAGAGAGUCGGUUUGCUUAGCUGGUGACUAUCUUACGGAAAUGCAAGGUCCACGAUGACAACGCUGGGUGCAAGUGUGCUGGCCACAGGACAAAAGUUUUUGGCACGUAUCGCCACAGGUUUCCUCUGCCUCAUUACAGGGUCUUACCUGGGUCUACAGAAUUCGGUGAUCAUGAAUGAAUAUAAACUUGUAUAUAAAUAUAGCACAUACAUUCUUUCCACAUGGGCAACUCCUGACUUGCAAAGGACACUCUCCAUCGCCGCAGGGUCCUGCAUGACACACCUUCUCGCAAAUGUGCAAACCACAAGCAAACGGAGCUCCACAAACCUGAAAUAAAUUUAAAGUUGUUAUAUACUUCA